UCCUGCGCCGCCGCCGCCAACACCCCUCAGCCCAACUGCCGCGGGCUUAGCUGGCCGAAGGAAGCGCGGGGAGCGAGCGAGCGGGCGGGCGGGCGGGCGGGGGAGAGUUUCCCGAAGAAGAGCCGGAGGAAAGUGGCGGCGCGCCGUCUCCGGCGGCUUAUCCGGGGCCGGCGGGACCCGCGUCCGAGCGCCCCGAAAGAACGGCCGAGGGGGAGGGGGGCAGUCAGCCGGCCGGGACCCAGGAGAAGGAGCGUUAGCCCCGCGCGGCAGAGGGAGGCGGCGGCGGCGGCGGCGGCGGCGAGGAAAUGGAUGCUCUCGGCGAGUUCCUGCUGGCGGGGAAAGUUUUGCUUGGGGUCCUCCCGCAGCCAGGCUUAAAGCCGCCUCGGUGUCCGGGCUCUUCUGAUUGGACGCUUCCAGCGCCUAUCGGAGCGCGCGCCCACAGUCCAAGCGGCGGCAGCGGGAGGCAGCGGGCGGGCGGGCGCGGAGGGCGGCCGCCCCGAGGCGGUCUGGCCUCAGCCUGACGCUGAAGGGAGCUUUUGCGGCGGAGCUUGGCUCGCUCUCGGACGCUCUGAGGCUCGGACGCUCUGCUUGGAGCCGAGCGACGGACUGCCGGGAUGUAGGAAAACGAGAAGCUUCGAGGUCCCCCCACCCCACCCCACCCCACCCCCUCGUCUCUCCCAUCUGCCCUCAGAAAGGAGACGCGUCAGGAGCUUGCAAGAGGAGCCGCUUCUCAAGUGUCAGCCAAGGGGAACGAAAUUCUGUGCAAAUCAAUUAUUGCAGGCUUUAGAAGGAGGAGAAGGAGAAGGAGAAGGAGAAGGAGAAGGAGAAGAAGGAGAAGAAGAAGAAGAAGAAGAAGAAGAAGAAGAAGAAGAAGAAGAAGAAGAAGAAGAAGAAGAAGAAGAAGAAGAAGAACCACCCACCGUCAGCCAAGCCAGCUCACCAACCUACCCCCCUCUUCCCCCUCCUUUCCUCGGCCCAUCACUUUGCUGGCUACCCAUCCAUCUAACCCUUCAGCCAACCAACUGGCCUCCUUCUCCUUUUCAAGAUUGGCUCGUUCCCGUCAAGCCAGUAGACCCAGGACUUCCUGAUCACCUGUAA
rnacentral:lncRNA from 1 species